UACGGAGGGAGCUAGCGUUGUUCGGAAUUACUGGGCGUAAAGCGCGCGUAGGCGGCUUUGUAAGUUAGAGGUGAAAGCCCGGGGCUCAACCCCGGAAUUGCCUUUAAGACUGCAUCGCUUGAAUCCGGGAGAGGUAAGUGGAAUUCCGAGUGUAGAGGUGAAAUUCGUAGAUAUUCGGAAGAACACCAGUGGCGAAGGCGACUUACUGGACACAUAUUGACGCUGAGGUGCGAAAGCGUGGGGAGCAAACAGG
rnacentral:rRNA from 1 species